ensembl:lncRNA
GCUCAGCGGUCUGGAACUUGCAGGAACAUGAGGAAUCCAUGAAUAAAUGUCUCCUGGCAGUCACCUGCUUGCUUAAACUCUUGACGGCUUCCCUCAGCAAUUAAAACAGCAUCCACCCCUGCCUUUUUAGGGCCCAGGAGGUCCUACUUGAUCUGGCUCUCACCUGUCUUUCCAAUCUCCCUUCAUUCUUCUCCAGUACGCUCCGGCUGCUGCACUGGCCUUAUCCUGUGCCUUGGACAUACUCAAGUUUAUCUUCACCUUAGAGCCCUUGAACUUGCUGCUCCUGCCCAUGACCAGCUUCUCAUUUUGGACACAGCUCCAGGGUCACCUCCUCAGAACGGCUUUUCCUCCCCAACUCCAGUUCUCUCUGUCACAUCACCAUUGAAUUGCCCUUAUGCUCCCUUUCAUGACUUUCCGCUCACUUCUCAACCCCUGCCUGUCUUCCCUUGCAAGAAGAAGAUCCCUCUGCAUAAUAUGGAAGAUGAACUGAAGGUGAACCAUGAUGGCAGCAGUAAAGAGUUUUGCUGUCACAGUUCAGACUUCAAAAGUUACAGCCGAGACAGGCAGGUCCGCGGAUGCCGUAGCAACGUCGCAAGUCACACGGAACGCGCUGAAUCAGCCCAAGCCCCUGCAGCAAUCCACUGGACACCCCCACACACACACACCCACACCCCCGCUCCUCUGUACAGCCACCUGGUUCCACACUACAAAGACGCAGAGGACACCAGACCACCAGAGCACUUACUGGGUGCUCCACUAUGAAAAAUGCAAAAGAGCAAGCCUAAGGAGGAGGACUACUUGCCACUACCACUUUCUCAUCUUUUGGGGAAAAUAAUCUCCAGAGCUUUGACUUCCAAGACAGAUCCAAGACAAGGUUGGAGAGCAGAGAGUCUAGAGGAAUAAAACAAUUCAAAGGGUUGGAAUUUAUAUCAAACAGCUUUCUAUCACUGUGACAAAAUACCAGAGAAAAUCAAUUUUAAAAGAGGAAGGAUUUAUUUUGGCUCACAGUUUUAAGUUUUAGUUCAUGCUCACUUGGAUGCAUUGCUUCUGGGCCUGUGGUGAGGCUGAACAUCAUGGUGGAAAGCAUGUGAUAGAGCAAAGCAGCUCCUGUCAUGGUGGGCAGGAAGAAGAGAGGGACAGACAGAGACAGAGAGACAGGCUGAACACAAGAAGUGGCUUUCCAGGUUACACCCCCAGUGACCUACUUCCUCCAACCAGGCCCUACCUCCUCAUUUUCACCACCUCUCAAUAGCACAUUCAAUCCUGAACCCAUGAAUGGAUUAGCCCACUGAUGAGAUUACACCCUUCAUGAUACAAUCACUUCCCCCAAGCCCACCCCUCAACAUUGCUGCAUUGGGGACCAAGCCCCCAACACAUGAGCCUGUGAGAGAUAUUUCAUAUCCAAACCAUAACAGCUACCACUUCCCACCAGUAACAGGGGUGUAGGUCAGUGGUAGAGUGCUUGCCUAGUGUGCACAAGACUCUGGGUUCAGCACCCAGAAUCACAAAACAAAAGGAGGACACCUGGAAGAGAGGACUCUUGAAUACCUAAUUAAGGCUGACUGUAUGGGAAAAAUAUGGGAGUCACCCAUCAUUUGAAUUCCUUGGGUGUUGGUUAUCAGACACUGUCACGGCUUUUUCUCAUGAUGUAUUAUGACGGCAGGCCCUCCAUGCAGUAGUUUUCCCCAUUCACUCCAACUCCUUCACUUUAAAGGUUUGCUUUUCUCCCCAUUCCUUCUUUUUGCUUCUCACAGAUUGCUCAUGCUGUGAGCAUAUUCAAUUUCAUUUGUUCAAGGGCUGCAGGAAGGAAGAUCUUCUGUCUUAGUCAUUUUCCUCCUCACUGGAACAAAAUACCUGCCACCUGCAACUUAAAGGAGGGGAUAUUUAGUUUAGCUCCUGGUUACAGUUCAUGGUCAGCUGUCUCCAAGGUAGGAAACAGCAUGGCAGAGGGGCAUGGUGGAGAAAACGCUUCUCUUAUUUUGGUAACCCAGAAGCAAAGAACAAGUUAGGAACUGUGAAGAAGGUACAUCCCUCCAGGUCACUCCUUCAGGGAUCCUCCUACUGGGACUAGACCCCACUUCCUAACAGCAAGUCAACUAUAGCAUCCCCAUAAUUCAGUCACUUUCCAAAAACCCCACCUAUGAGUUCAUGAGGCUCUUGGGGAACAUAUAGAUAUAAAUCACGUCUUCCUUCCUAUCUCUGUCAGCAGGAAUCAAACAAAAACAGCAAACCUGCUGAGGAUAGAGGCAAAGUCGAAUGGCCUCUGAAUUCUGCAAGGAGUUUGUUGAUUUCUUGCUUGCUUGGGCUUUCUGCCCUCCUCUUCCAUGCCUCCUUUCCCUGCAGUACCUCCAGUCUUCCCGCCGGGGGAUAUUUUCCCCAAGCUUCACCUCCAAUUCUCACAUCAGGGACCCAGCUCACAGUUCUAUGCUAACUUUAGGUCAGCCUCAGUCUUGGUCAGUAGAAAAGCCUGAAGGUAGAGCAGAGAAGCAUUUCAUCCAUGCCCCCAGCCCCACUCGCUUGGCCUUUGAUUCUAAUCCCUGGACUCUUCAACUUGUGGUCUUUGCCAAUUAUUCUCCAGCUUCUUGCCCCAGACCUGUUCUCUAUUCAUCCAGCUCUGUGCUCCCCGAAAGCUGCUUCCUCUGGAAUUUAUUACCUCGGCUUCAUUAUUAACUGGGUUUGGCUGGUAGGAGACACUAGCACGAGGUAGAAAGGGGGUUAGAAAGAGUCGAGGACUUAUCUGCUCCCCUUGGUGCAGCCCUCUUGCAUCCACCCCUAGCAUCUCUCUGCAACACCCAUUCCCAUGGGGAUUAGUUAACCCUAAAGAUGGACCAAAUAUAGAUUUAUAAUAAAUUAUUUAUUGAAUGUAAACCAUAUCCUCAGUUUCAUAUAAGUUUCUUUUUCUUUUAUUGGAUUAAAAAUGAAGUAGGAUAACCUAGAAUCAUGGCAUUUUAGUAAAUGUUUUUAUCUCCAUACACAGGGC